CAUAAAUUUCAGGCUCAUCUGAAUGUAUAAUAGAUUUUUCUAUUAUAUAAAUAACCCCCUUUUUAAAGAUUUGGUAAAGGAAUUUUGCUUUUGAUGAUAUAGUCCACAUAUUUAUAAUAAUAUAAAUAUUCAAGCCUAAGGUAGCGAAAUUUAUGUCCGUUAAAUGCGGUCCCGCAUGAAUAAAGUAACGAUGGUCUCACUGUNNNNACAAGCAUCUCAGUGAAAUGAACUAGCCGUGCAGAUGCGG
rnacentral:rRNA from 1 species